rnacentral:pre_miRNA from 1 species
AUCCCCUGGGGAUCUGGUUAAAAUGCAGAUUCUUGUUGAGUAGGUCUGGGUGGAGCCUGAGAUUCUGCAUUUUUGACAAGCUCCCAGGGGAUGCUGA